UAACUCAAAAACUAUCAUAUAAAUAACUCCGCAACUCAACAUGACACAACUCCCUAGAAUCUGGUGAUAGCAAGUCACCAGUUCUACAAGAAAGUACUAAACAUCCCAAUACAACAAUGUCUAAAAACAAGGGAGAAAUGAAGUAGAACUAGUUAGAGGGUGACUCCGCGUCUUGCGGAUACCAGCAUGUAUAUUUUGAAGUAUCUAAGUCUGAACUUUAGCUCACGGGGGCUUAAGCUGGUAAGAGGUACCUGGAUCUGCAUAAAAGAUGUGAAGAAACAUAGCAUAAGUACACCACAUUAGUACCCAAUAAGUAUCAAGCCUAACCUCAGUAGACUAGUGACGGGGUCAGGUCAAGGCCCUGCUACAAUGAAUAAGAAAACUGAACAGGUAUACAUAAUAGUGUAAUAAUGAUAAACAUUGAAAAUAAGACAAUGACGAGAUAUACCAAGAAUAACUACACUGAAAUAAAGCAAAUAGGACAUAAAGAAAAUUAGGAAUGAUACAUUCAGAAUAGACAACCGAAACACAAGUAAUGUAAUAAAAAAGUAUCAACAAAGAUCACUACCAAGGUGCCACUUCAUAGUCUCAUAUCACAAAACAAUUCACAAUCUUUCCUUAUAUCACCACGGGAGCCUUAUAUUUAGUUUAGAAAAUUAUUUUUCCCGAAAUAGCUUCUCGCAUUUUAGCCCAUCUUAUCACACUUUGUGGCUUCAAGUAGUUUCCCAACUAGCAACACGCAUAUCAAGCCUACCUUAUCUUACUGCAUACUUUCAACCCUAAUCCUUAUACCACAACAUGCGUGUCAAUAUCACAAUGUAUCAAAUCACACCUCAAGUGCCCAAGAUCGCAACUUGCCAAAAAGGUCAACAAUAAUGGUAUUUCUACAAUAAAUAUCCAAGGGCUCAACCACAAUAUGCAUAGAAGUCUCAACAAUUAUAGCCGAAAUGAAUAACUCAACAAGAAUAUUAUUUCACAUAUUCACAACUUUGCCUCAAUGUGAGUAACAACCGUUAUAACUCAAUACCAGUUCAACAAUAAAAUAUGCCAAGAAUUAACAAUUUGAAGUAAGAAACUCAAUGGUUAAAUAGGGGAUAAAGAAUAGAGAAACAAUAACUUCAACUAAACAUGUAAAGACAAUUAACAAGUAAGAGAUAAGACAAGUAAAACAUGUGAAAAUAGACUAAUAAUGAUAAAUAUAUGAUAUAUUAGUAACUCAAUUGAAGGCAUGGAAGGAAUCUACAUUGCUAGAACCGGUCAAUUACCACAUUUAGCAUGUGCACACACUUGUCACCUUGCGUAUACAACUUCCACAUUCACAAUUAACACUAAUCCUAAGGUAAUCCCCCCCCCCCCCCCAAAUUAGAAANNNNNNNNNNNNNNNNNNNNNNNNNNNNNNNNNNNNNNNNNNNNNNNNNNNNNNNNNNNNNNNNNNNNNNNNNNNNNNNNNNNNNNNNNNNNNNNNNNNNNNNNNNNNNNNNNNNNNNNNNNNNNNNNNNNNNNNNNNNNNNNNNNNNNNNNNNNNNNNNNNNNNNNNNNNNNNNNNNNNNNNNNNNNNNNNNNNNNNNNNNNNNNNNNNNNNNNNNNNNNNNNNNNNNNNNNNNNNNNNNNNNNNNNNNNNNNNNNNNNNNNNNNNNNNNNNNNNNNNNNNNNNNNNNNNNNNNNNNNNNNNNNNNNNNNNNNNNNNNNNNNNNNNNNNNNNNNNNNNNNNNNNCCUAAGGUAAUCCCCCCCCCCCACCAAAUUAGUAAAGACACUUACCUCAAAACAUGCCAACUCACUUCAUUAGUAAGCAUUUCCCUCUAUUAUCCAUUCUUCGAACGACUUGAAUCUAGCCAAAACAACUUCAUACCAUAAAUACAUACUAUAGGAGGUUAUUAUGAACAAUAAAGUUGCAAUCUUUAUGGAAAAAUGAAAAUUCAACUCAAAAAGCCAACUACAUGCUCGUGUCUUGAAACACGACCAAAAUAAUAAAAAUGUGAACACUCAUUUGAUAACGAGUCCAAUUAUAUAAGAAUUACUGAUUUCGAUUGCAACUACCCAAAAUUUAGUCUAAGAAGUUUCACAAUUUUUUUCUCUAAAUUUUCAACUCAAAUCACUAAUUAAAUGAUAAAAAUAAUAAUGGAUUCAUGUAAUAUAGUCAAAUUCGGGUUAGAAUUAGUUACUUUGAUGAUUUUCUUGAAAAUCCAUUGAAAAAUCACCACAAACCGAGCUCUCUAAGUCCAAAAAUAAAAGAUUAGAUAAAAUCCUCGACCUAAGAAUUUUCAGUCCACCUAUUUGUGCAUCUGUGGGAGUAAGGCCCGUGAAAACUUGUAUUCAAAACCUAGUAGCUCGUAGUGCCAAGUUUCAAAUAUGUGUUAGGAAUAUGUAAAUUCUUCAUGGCGAGCUUGCGAGCCGUGGUUCGUACCCUUUGUACUGAUCUAGAAUUUAAAAAUCAAGAAUCAAAGUUUUCCAGAAUAGUGCUAUUAUGCGGUCCAGAAUGCAGUCACAAAUCAAGUAUGCAGACCACAUUUCAAAGUGAGUCAGGGUAUUAGUCAAAAUUGAGGUCAAAAUACGGUCCAUUAUGCGAUCGCAUAACUGAUAUGCGGACCGCAUAGUCAUCGCAUAUUUAUCUUGGAAUUUUGCAAGAGGGUAGUUCUGUGGUGCAUUACGCGACCACAGAUGAGGUAUGUGGACUGCAUUUUUGCCGCAAACCCAAACAGAAAUGUUUAGAGUUUUGGAGCACUUUUGCGGUUCAUUCUGCGGACCGCAUUUCCUCUUUGCGAUCGCAUACCUGACUCGGGGCUCUAAUUUUUUUAACUUUUAAACCCGACCCCUUUUUCAAUAAAAUACCCCGAACCCUCAUUUUAACAUAUUUUCUGAACAAAACUAGAGAAGGAAGAGAGAAUUCUUGAGAGAGAAAGCCUUACCUCUAUCAGUUUGAUUUUCAAAGUCACCCAAGUAAUUGUCUUUAUCUCCGUUUUUGCAGGUAGAAUCCCCAACCCUUUUUCAUUGGUUUUCAGAUUUAAAGAAAAAGGGGUAUUUUCAUGCAUUAGUUCUUGAAAAUAUAAGUUGAACCAUACAUGCAUGUUCGUUAAUACCUAAAAUCUAGUAAGAGGAAUUGGGUAGGAGUAAAAAUUUGCAAAAAGGAGUGAUUAUAACCUAAAUAAGUUCGAGUUAUAUUUGUGAACUUCAAUUCUAAGAUAUAUGUGUUAACUUGUUAACUAGAUUGACGAUACUAGGCUAUUUUGUGAAUUGAAUGUACAAGUUAAAAAGGAAAUUCGACUCCAGGUAUGUAUGACUAACUUUAACCUUUGUAAAGUCACCUUGUUUGGUGUACGAGUAAUUGGUAUGUAUUAAUUAUGUGGACUAUUUGUGAUUUUGGUGAUUAAUAUGCCUUGAUCAUUGUUGGUUAAGCAUCCCAAUAUGUGGUAAGAGCUGUGUAAUAAAUGAUAGAAAGAAAUUGUAAUUGAUGCAAUGGAAACAACUGCGGUAAUAUCAUUUGUGACUUGUCGUGGGCAAUUAUCGUUGUGACUUAAAUUGUAUACAGGCUAUUGGAUAUGAUGGAAAUGGUACUGAGAUUAAUGAAAACUCAUUGUAAAAUUGUUAUUGUUGUUGUGAACUGUUAUUUUGGAUGGCCUGAAGCGAUGUGUUUGAGCUGUGAAUUAUUGUUGUUGUGUGAAAUGUGAUUGUCCGGUGGGAUCAGGUUGCGCGCGGCAAUACGAAGUUAUAAGUGUGGAUUGUGGUGAUAAGGGUGGCAAAGUUAAUAAGGGUGGCCGAGGUAAUAAAGGUGGAAAAGUAAUCGAAAUCACUAUUGAAAUGAAAAUAUGUCAAAGUUGUGAAAAUCAUUGAUGUGAUGUAAUUAUGUUGACAGGGGCAAAUGAGAGAUUGUGAAACUUGUAGGCUUUGAUUGUUGAUUCAAUUACUAUUUGAUAUCUGUGAAUUGAUUUAUUUUACUUGGGGUAAAGUUUGUUCAUAAAAACCAAUACAAUUCAAAUGUACUAACAUCCCUUUUGCCCUGGGCUCUACAUUCUUGUUAUGAUUGUAGGUGGUUGUAUGGCAGGUACUCCAGUCCACAGAUAGUAGCACCUCCUCCACUUUCCGCCAGUUGUAUUGGUGAGCCUCUUCCCACUCGGGGCCCUGCGUGGCUCAUGCCGCUUUUCUUCUUGGAGUAUUAUUUUGGUCUUUGUGUAUUGUAAGGUAUAGCUGGGGCCUUGUCGCCGGCAAGUAUUAGUUAAGUUCCUAGUAUCCAUAGAGGCUCCGUCGAGACAAUGCGGGUGGUGUGCAAAAGUAUUAUGGGUAGAAAUUGUACGGUUCGGAAUCAUGGCCCACGUUGGUAAAUAUUGUAUGUAUUUUGCAAGUACUUGGCAUCAAAUAUUGAAAAAUGAUAAAAAGGAGAAAUGAACUCAAGUUGCAAGUUUAUGCUUAAGUCUUAAAUUGCUAUUUCACAAGAAUAAUGUAUAUUGAAAUUAUGGGGCUACGCGUGGGAUAGGAAAGGCGAUUCCAUGUCCUCUUGACGGGGGUCCUCCGGUUGAGUGCUGGUCGUGUCCCUCGGUUUUGGGGCGUGAUAGCGGGCUUACUGUUGCACCUGUGAUGUUGUACCUACGGAAAAUCCAUCACAAGGGUGAUUCCAAAUAAUCCCCUAAGUUUACACUUCGGCAGACCAAAAUAGCGCACCCGCAGCGGGUCUCCGCUUCUCCAACCCCAGGGUAGCUAGCCCUUUUCCGCUAAUGUGAUGAAUUUCUCGCACCCGCGAGUCCUCUUCUGCAGAUAAACGUCUGCACCUUUGGCCGCAGCUGACUAUGUUCAAACUCGCUUAUAUGGCGUGAGUUUCUCUCCUAUGGUGUUGCAUCUACGGCCCAAAGUGCGCAGGUGCGGUUGCACUAGACACAACAAAGGUUUCAAUCACCUAAGUCAAAAAGUAUUCCGGGUUGAAUCCGAAUCACACCCGGGGCCCCUAGAACUCCGUCCGAAUAUAUCAACAAGUUGCAAAACACAUAACAGACCUACUCUAGGGCAAAAAUCACAUCAAAGAACAUCGAUUUAACGAAUCACAACCUAAUUCAAUCAUAUUUAUGCUAUAAACAUCCAACUUCCAAAACUAACGUUGAAUCAUACCAAAACAACUCUGGUUAAGCUCAAAUUUUGUACACAAGUCAUAAAUGACAUGAUAGUCUUAUUCUAACAUCACGAAUUAGGACCCGACCCGGAUAUCAAUAAAGAAAACUCCCGGUCAAUCUUCUCAACCUUUCAAACCUUUAACUUUCUAACUUUUUCCAAAUCAAGUCAAAAUGACGUACGAACCUAUAAAUCAACAUACGGACACACUCCUAAGUCCAAAAUUGCCAUAUAGAGCUAUUAGAACCGUCGAAUUUCAAUUCCAAAGUCGUGUGCUCAAAAGUCACACCAAUUAACUCUUUCUCCAACCUAGGGAUAUAUGUUCCAUUUCACUCAGAAACGCAUUCGAAACCAAAACCAAACACCCUAGCAAGUCACAUAACUACAAUACAACAUAGAGGAGGCAAUAAAUAGGGAAUGAGGGAUAAAAUACUUAAAAUGACGGGUUAGAGUCGUUACAUUGUCUCCCUCUUAAAAUAACAUUUGUCCUCGAAUGAGUAUAAAGACAUACCUACAGUCGUGAGAAGAUCAGAAUAACAACUAUGCAUAUCAUGCUCGGUCUCUCGCCUCUUCGGCUGAUUGACCCCUCCACUUAACCCUUACUAAUAUAAUGCUCUUCUAAUUUAGCUUUCGGACAUGCUUGUCCAAAAUGAAUGCUGGCUCUUCAACAUCAGACAAAUCCUUGUCCAACUAGACUGAGCUAAAAUACAACAUAUGGGACGGAUCACCGUGGUAGUUCUAGAGCAUAGAAACGUGGAAUAUUGGAUGAACUGUAGUUUGAUUAGGUGUCAAGAUAAGCUUGUAGGACACUUUACCAAUCCUCUCAAGGAUCGCAAAAGAUUCGAUAUACCUAGGGCUCGACUUGCCAUUCUACACGAACCUCAUAGCAUCCUUCAGGGGCGAAACUUGGAGCAAUACUCGCUCUCCAACCAUGAAUACAACAUCUUGAAACUUCUAAUUCACAUAACUCAUCUGUCUAGAUUCACUUGUAUGAAGCCGAUCUUGAAUCAAUUUAACAUUUUCCAAAACAUCCUGAACGAAGUGAGAACCCAAUAACCUAGCCUCCCCCAACUCAAACCAACCCACCGGAGACCCACACUACCUCCCAUACAAGGCCUAAUACGGAGCCAUCUGAGUGCUCGAUUGGUAGCUGUUAUUGUAAGCAAUCUUCGCAAGAGGCAUAAACUGAUCCAAAGAACCCCCUAAUUUUGUGACACAAGCACGAAGCAUAUCCUCUAAUAUCUGAAUAGUGCACUCGAACUUCCCGUCCAUCUGAAAAUGGAAUGUUGUACUUAACUCAACUCAUAUUUCUAGCUCACAUUGUACGACCUUCCAGAAUCGCAAUAUAAACUAUUUAUUUCAAUCAAAGAUGAUGGAUAUCGGCAUACCAUGAAUUUGGAAAAUCUCGCGAAUAUAGACAUGAGCCAACUGCUCUGAAGAAUAAGUGGUCACCACAAGAAUGAAGUGAGCCGACUUUUUCAACCUAUCUACGAUCACCGAUAUUGCAUCAAACUUCUUCUGAGUUUGUGGGAGCCCUACAACGAAAUCCAUAGUAACUUGCUCCCAUUUCCACUCGGGAAUCUUAAGCCUCUGAAGUAACCCACUUAACCGUUGAUGCUCAUGCUUUACCUACUGACAAUUUUGACACCGAGCUACAUACUCUACUAUGUCUUUCUUUAGCCAUCUCCACAAAUAUUGCUACUUGAAGUCCUAAUACAUCUUGGCGGCACCCGAUGAAUGGAGUACUGCAAACAGUCGGCCUCCUGAAGAAUCAACUCACGCAAACAUUCAUGCCAGCCUUACAUCUGUAACACCGUCAUCCCUAAUAGUAAACUUACUGGCAUCGCCGUACUGAAAUUGUACUUGAGCACAAGCAAAUGGGGGUCAUCACACUAACACUCUUUGAUACGAUCUUAUAGAGAAGACCGAAAAUCCACGCAAGCCAAAACUUAACUCGGCUCCGAAACAUCCAAUCUAUCAAAUAGGUUGGCCAAAGCCUGAAUAUCCAAUGCAAAUGGCCUCUUUGCUACAAGUGAAUAUUCUGAAUUGCCCAAGCUCUCCACCUUUUGACUCAAGGCGUCGACCACAACAUUAGCCUUCCUGGGAUGAUACAGAAUGGUAAUAUCAUAGUCUUUAAGCAACUCUAACCACCUCCACAACCGCAAGUUAUGAUCCUUGUGUUUUGAACAAAUGUUGUAGCCUUCGGUACUUAGUAGACCUUACAAGGGACACAGUACAGGUAGUGCUGCUAAAUCUUCCAGUCAUGAAUAAUAGCUGCUAAUUCCAGGUCAUGGACAAGAUAGUUCUUCUCAUGCACCUUAACUACCUAGACGUAUAGGUAGUCACCCUACUGUCUUGCAUUAACACCAUGCUAAGGUGAACAUGCGACACAUUAUAGUACAUAAUUUAAGACCCUGAAACCAUAUGCAACACCAAUAAUUAAGCUGAAGUCAAAUAAGUCUUAAGCUUUUGAAAGCUCUCCUUACACUAGGUCCAUCUGAAUAGAGCACCAUUCUCGGUCAAUAUGGUCAUAGGUGUACAAUAGAUGAGAAACCCUCUAUGAAACGACGGUAAUACCCUGCCAAACAAAGAAAACUCUGGAUCUCAAUGGCUAAAAUGGUCUAGGCUACCUCUGCACUACUUUAGUCUUCUUAGGGUCUACCUUGACCCCUUCACUCGAUACUACAUGACCCAAAAACACCACCGAAUCAAGCCAAUAUUAAAACUUUGAAAAUUUUGCAUACAACUUUUUUUCUCUCAAGGUCUUCAACAUUGUCCUCAAAUUCUGCUCAUGAUCCUCCCGGCUCCAGGAGUACUGCAAGAUGUCAUCAGUAAACAUAAUGAAAAAUGAGUUAAGGUAGGGCUGUAAUACACUUUUCAUCAAGUGCAUAAAUGUUUCUAAGCUGUUGUUCCACCUAGAUGACAUCACAAAGAACUCGUAAUGACCAUACCAUGUCCUAACUACAAAUCAAUCUUCGAGAACACUCUCUCACCCUGUAGCUGAUCAAAUAGGUCAUCAAUAUGUGGCGAUGGAUAUAUGUUCUUUACUAUAACCUUAUUCAAAUGACAAUAAUCAAUACACAUGCUCAUAGACUCAUCCUUCUUCUUUACAAACAAGAUCGGAGCACCCCUAGGUGAAACACUAGACCGAUUGAAAUCCUUAUCAAGCAACACCUGCAACUAGUCUUAACUCUUUCAACUCCACUGGGGCCAUACAAUAUGGUGGAAUUAAAAUGGGCUGAGUGCCCGACAAUAAGUCAAUACCAAAAUUGAUAUCCCUAUCAUGAGGCAUGCACGGAAUAUCCGCCGGGAAUACAUCUAGUUAGUCUCUUACUAUCGGAACUGAUUCAACGGUAGGGGUGUCAACACUUAGAUCUCUUACAAAGGCUAGAUAAGCAUCACACUACUUCCGAACCAUACGAUAUGCCUUUAGAAAAUGCACCAUACUGAUAGGAAAAUAAUCCAAAGUACCCUUCCACUCUAACCACGAAAAACCUGACAUAGCCAACAUUACCAUCUUGGCAUGACUAUCGAGAAUAGCAUGAUAGAAAGGCAACUAGUCCAUGCCCAAAAUAGCAUCAAAAUCUACUAUACUGAGAAACAAUAAAAUGACUCUUGUCUCAAAACCACCUAGAAAACUAAACACGACCGAAUAUCCCCCACAGGUGUUAACACAGUAAUAAGUAAACUCAAUGAAUCAUGGGAUAAUUCCAAAUACGGAGCGAAGUAAGAUGACACAUAUGAAUAAGUGGAGGCUGGACCAAAUAAUAUAAAUGCAUCUCAAUGAAAAACUGGAACAACACCUGUGAUGACUGCAUCUGAUGCAACCACCUUUGACCUACCCGAAAAUGAAUAGCAUCUGGCUUGGCCUUCCCCUUUAGGGCGACCCUUACCUGCCUGACCUCUACCCUUAGCUGAAUAAGUACGUAGAGUGAUAGCUGGUCUGGUAACCACGGCCAGAGAAGUGUGGGGGCCCUACGAAAUACGUGUAGCUUGAGUAGUCUAUGGAGGUGCACCUCUAUGAAGUCUAGGGAAGUUCCUCACCAUAUGAUGAGUAUCACCACAAUAAAAACUAGCUCUCAGAGGACGUGGCUACUAAACAUGACUCGGGCCUGGCCGACUAGACAGACCGCUGAAAGCACCCCGUGAAGGAGGUGCACUAGAUAGUUGUGGUUCAAAAUGGGCAGCCUAAGACCUAGGAGUAGCCGAAAUACUGAUGGAAUAUGGAAGUGCUAAAUAAACUGGGCAGCUCGCAUACCCUCUACUAGGAUAAGCUAGAACUGGGGCACAAACACCAUUAUAUGUGCCAAAAUCAUAAGAGGCCUCUUAGCCUCCCUAUCAUUUCUCUUCUGACCCUGCGUACCCUCCAAUCACUAGGAGAUAUUUGAUGGUGAGCUAUAAUCUCGUGUUUUAGUUGCACUCUAAUUUACUGCACUUUACUUGUAUUGAGCUUUAGUUUGUAGUGUCUUGCGCUUAUUGUGUGUUUUAUGCCUUGUAGAAGUGAUUCCAAGUGAUAUAGAUGUUGUGGAGUUAAUUUGAGUUAUUUGAAACUUAGAAGUCUGAGUAAAAUCCUAAGGGAUUAAGCUGGGAUCAUGUUCGGGGUAGAGGAACACAUUUGAACAUCAAAUAUCAAGUAAAAAGCAACUUUCUAAGGAUUUUGCACUGUUGCAGCGCAUGACGCGAUGUUGUGGUGCACGCAAUAGCCUAUUUGUGCUGCUUGAGAAUUUUGCAAGCUCACUAGAUAUCCCCGCAAAUGUCAUGCAUGGCUCAUCGCCCUAUGUGGUGUGCCGGUCUAUUUUCCUAGAUCUAUUGUCCUCUUUUGGCUAGGAAAGGGUUGUUUUGUUUGGGGCAGACCCUACUUUGUAUAAAUACAUGGAAAAUUGUUAUUUUCUGGACUUUUGGCAUACUUUGGACCAAAGGAGGCUAAGGAGGAGUUUGAAGAAUCCCAGCACGAGGAUAUCAUCAUUCCUUCUUCACUUAAGACACGAGUAUGGAUUGAAUUUAUGUUUUCUUGUACUUUAAUUAUAUUUGUGAUGAAUUAUUACAUGUCUAUAGAGUACUUCACUUUAUGGUUUGCCAGAUUUGAUGUAUUGAUAACUGUUUAUGGAUUAACUCUAGUUUUAUAUUAAAGCAUUUUUGGAUGAUUUAAUUAUUAAACCUAUAUUCACUUGUUCAUGUAAUCGAGAGAGGAAUAACUUGUGAUGUCAUUGCAUUAUAAUUUUGGUUGAAUCCAUAUAUUCUUCUAAGUAAUCAAAAUAAUCUACAACAACAACAACAACUACCCAGUACAUUCCCACCAGGUGGGGUCUGGGGAGGGUAAUAUNNNNNNNNNNNNNNNNNNNNNNNNNNNNNNNNNNNNNNNNNNNNNNNNNNNNNNNNNNNNNNNNNNNNNNNNNNNNNNNNNNNNNNNNNNNNNNNNNNNNNNNNNNNNNNNNNNNNNNNNNNNNNNNNNNNNNNNNNNNNNNNNNNNNNNNNNNNNNNNNNNNNNNNNNNNNNNNNNNNNNNNNNNNNNNNNNNNNNNNNNNNNNNNNNNNNNNNNNNNNNNNNNNNNNNNNNNNNNNNNNNNNNNNNNNNNNNNNNNNNNNNNNNNNNNNNNNNNNNNNNNNNNNNNNNNNNNNNNNNNNNNNNNNNNNNNNNNNNNNNNNNNNNNNNNNNNNNNNNNNNNNNNNNNNNNNNNNNNNNNNNNNNNNNNNNNNNNNNNNNNNNNNNNNNNNUAGGAUAANNNNNNNNNNNNNNNNNNNNNNNNNNNNNNNNNNNNNNNNNNNNNNNNNNNNNNNNNNNNNNNNNNNNNNNNNNNNNNNNNNNNNNNNNNNNNNNNNNNNNNNNNNNNNNNNNNNNNNNNNNNNNNNNNAAGAGACAACAAAAUAAUAAAGCUAAUCCCGCAGACAAAAUAGGCUAGUUGAAUCAUUUAUUAAACCUAAUUAGGAGGACAAUUGAGAGCGGCUCUCCUAAAGAUCAACCCAUUACAUAUUCUUGCAUAUCUUCACAUAUCUUAAAUUAGUUCAUAUCGCGAGGUUGAGACUUAAUCAAGAGAGGAGUUUCUGCUAAACAUUUGAACUAAUAAUUGAGUGAAUUCGAGAGAACCAAUUGAACAUUAGAAAUGAAUUAUCUAGAAUUAGAUCCUAAACAAUUAUCUUGCACCUAUCAUAUCAAAACCCUAUCUUUGAGCAGCGAGCAUAAUUACGUAUGUAUUUUGUGCUGGUCAAAUUUUGGCAUUGUUGCCGAGGAUUGGAAAUCAAUAGUGUUUGAAAUAGUUUGUAGUGCUAAUUUAGGAUUUUUUUUUCUUUUUUCACUUUUUAUGUUUGGUGUUCUUUGACAGUGCGCAGAGUAUAAGUUAAUGUCACACCUUUUUUUUCCUUCUCGUGUCGGGAGAAUUGGGUUAAUGACAUUUUGGGUAUAGGACAACUUAUUCCUUUUGGGAAUUGGAUUUUUCAUUUUUGAAGAGUUGCCACCUAAUUAUUGAAGGUGCAUCAGGACACCUUCAAGGUUUAUUUCCAAGUUUUCUUGAUAACCUGAGAUAGGGUAAGGGCUUAAAAUUAUCCUAAGGGGAAGGUGUUAGGCAUCCCUCAAGAUCCACUAGUGUGGUUUUCGAAGAGAUAGUUCCUUGUGAAUUUAGUAUGAUUAACAUAUAAACAGAUAUGGCUCAAAUAAGGGGGAACUUUAAUACACGGCGGUUUGAAAGUAAACAAAGUUUGAAAGAGCAAUAGAAAUGAUGAUUUUUAAAGGAGUUAUAAUGCUUUAAAGUAAAGGAAAGAAAAGGAUGGGGGUCCUAGGUUUAUUAUAAUAUGGAUCACAUCAAUGCAAUACCCGGUAAUCACUCCUUAAAAGAGGGGCUACGCGUGGUAUUACCGAACCGGUCAUCAUAUCCAUAUCUACCCUUUCCCAACAUGUUCAAGGUACUAAAGCGCGGAUUGGUCUCGACCACUAUUGCAUGCUAUUACCUGCCCUUUUCUAUCAGUCCCGGAGGCACUUAGGACUACUAUUCCUACAAAGGAGGGAUAUUAGGCUGACUAGGGGUUUCAAAGGUGAAAAAUCUAAGGUGACAUACAAAAUAUUUAGGACUGCACAUUAAGCGGAAGCACAUAAGCAGUGAAGGCUUAGGUAUACCUCCUCAAAUAAAGCAAUUAGAUAGCAUGAUUCAAAAAAAAAAGCAAAGUCUGAUUUUUUUUAGAAGUCCUAAAAUAGUGGAUUUCGAGUCAGAGCCAGAUUCAUGAGAUACCUCAGAUAAGAAGUCCCAAUUAGGCAUGUCUGCUGGUUGUAGCACUUACUAAUUAAUAGAGGGAAAUUCAGUUUUAUUAUUAUUAUUACCUAAUGCUUGCCUAAGUGUUUAGGGAAGACCUUAGGAUGGUAUAUGUUGUUGAUUCUGAAUGUGGCAAAGUAGUAACAAAUUAAAACAAGUGAUUUGAGAUCCUAUUGGCAUGUUUGGUAAAUCGUGCUAAUAAAAAGAGAUUAAACUACUUAAAAACUGGUUCAGAGUAGACAAAUUUUUAAACUUAGACUAGCUUCAGUUUCUUUAGAUGAGGGUAUCCCUUAUUGCUGAUUUUUAUUCCUAUGAACGUGAAAUCUACUAUUAAUGAUAUUAAACCCUUAAAGACAUGGCGUCUAAUAGUUGAUUUAAUCCAUAUAGUUAUGAUAUCUCGUUGAAAACGGGAACAUGCAGGAUUUUAGAUAGGAAUUCAUAUAGGCAAGAUUUCUAUAUAUUGUACCGACUUGAACAUGAUGCUAGAUUAUAACCAAUUGGACCCUAAGAGCAUGGUGCUAGGUUAUAACCAAUUGGACCCUUCAGUUGGAAUGACGGCUUCUGUACUAUAAACUAGCAUACAAGGGGUUGUCUCGGCUGAUGUGUGCACUGUGGUGCAACACCCCAAUAGAGCAAAUGAUAACGUGUUGUGCUGCUAUUUAUGCUUCUCUAUCAUUUUCCUUAAUAUCUUCUUGAUAUUCUUCUUGACAGCUUCUAGCUCCAUUCAUUUGUGGCCUGUAGGCUGUAGAAUUCUUGUGUUUGAUCUUGAAGGUUUCACACAUAGCCUUCAUCAAGUCGCUAUUGAGGUUGGAUCCAUUAUCAGUAAUGAUCGACUCUAAAAUACCAAAUUAGCAAACAAUGCAGUCACGCACAAAGUUUUCCACGACUUUCUUAGUCACUACUCUAUAAGAUGCCGCUUCGACCCACUUGGUGAAGUAGUCAAUUGCCACUAGGAUGAAUCCGUUUGAAGGGGUUGGCUCAAUUGAUCAAUGAAAUUCUUGUCUGGAUAUUGUAUCAUAGAUGACAGGGUAGCCAAUGCAUUGGCGAAAUCAUUCUGGACUCCGGGAACAUGCUGGAACUCCGUUCUCGUGAACCUCCUUCUUAAUUCCUGUACAUGAUGUAGAUAUAGGUGUAUCUUGGAUGGUUACCCAUUCUUCUCGUAUAUGAUGUAUAAGCAAGUCUGAAUCUCCAAUCACUAGCAACUCAUGAAUGUUUAUGUUAAUGGCCAUGUUGAGCCCUAAGAUGUAGGCUUCAUACUUAGCCAUAUUGUUGGUGCACGAGAAUUUGAGUUUUACAGACACCGGGUAGUGCUGAGAAGUUUCUGACAACAAGACUGCUCAUAUGCCAGCUUCUUUGAAAUUUUAUGCUCCAACGAAAAACAUUCUCCAACCGUCGUAGGAUUCUACGAUAUCUUCUCCUAUGAACAAUAUCUAUUCAUCAGAAAAAUAUGUUUUCAAAGGCUCAUAUUCUCCAUCCACAUGGUUUAUGGCAAGAUGGUCUGCCAAGUCUUGUCCCUUGAUCGUCUUCUGAGUUACAUGCACAAUAUUGAAUUCACUUAGUAGGAUUUGCCACUUGGCUAGCUUGCCAGUGGGCAUGGGCUUCUGAAAGAUGUAUUUUAAAGGGUCCAUCCUUGAUAUGAUAUACAUGGUAUAGGCGGGGUGAACUUCUUGCUGAGAUAGUAAAUGACCUGUUCCUUUCUCCUUGUUUUAUCAUGCUUCCCCAAAGCGCAACCAAAGGCUCCAUUUAUUACUACGAUGUAGAGUAAUAGGGGUCUACCUGGCUCGGGCGGGACCAAGACUGGUGGUGUUGAUAGGUAUUCCUUGAUUCUAUCAAAGGCCUUUAAGCAAUCAUCGGUCCAUUUGGUAGCGGCGUCCUUCUUCAACAUCUUAAAGAUUGGCUCACAUAUAACUAUAGACUGUGCUAUGAACCAGCUGAUAUAGUUAGUUCUUCCCAAGAAACUUAUCACUUCCUUCUUGUUCUUUGGCGGUGGAAGUUCCUGAAUGGCUUUGACCUUUGAUGGAUCCAGUUCUAUUCCUCUGCGAUUUACAAUAAACCCAAGCAACUUUUCGGUGGGAACCGCCAAAUACAUACUUCACGGGAUUCAGUUUAUGGUUGUACCUUCACAAUCUGUUGAAUAACUUCCUCAAAUCUUCCAUGUGAUUAAUGGAUUUCUUGGACUUGAUGAUAAAGUCAUCCACAUAUACCUAAAUUUCUUUGUGUAUCAUAUUGUGAAAAAUGGUAGUCGUGACCCUCAUAUAGGUGGCCCUGCAUUCUUCAGGCCGAACGACAUAAUUUUGUAAAAAUACAUCCCCGACGGUGUAAUGAAAGCCAUUUUCUUAGCAUCUUCUUCAUCUAUCUAGAUCUGAUGAUAAUCGGCAAAGCAAUAACCGAAUGACUGCAACUCAUGUUUGGCGCAAUUGUUGAUCAGGAUGUAUAUAUUUGGAAAAGGGAAGUCGUCUUUCAGACUGGCCCGGUUGAGAUCCCAAUAGUCGACACAGACUAUUACCUUCCCGUCCUUCUUUGGUACUGGUACAAUGUUGGCCAACUAUGUCAGAUACUCAAGUGCCCUGAGAAAUUUUGCUUUGACUUGCUUAGUGACUUCUUCCUUGAUUUUCAGACUCAUAUUAGGCUUGAACUUCCUGAGCUUCUGUUUUACCGGUAGACAUGUCGGAUCAGUUCGCAGUUUAUGGGCCACAAUAGAUGUACUUACACCAGUCAUGUCAUCAUAUGACCAUGCAAAUAUGUCCUCAUAUUCCAUUAGAAAUUCGGUGUAUUCCUUCUUUUCCGAUAGAGAAAAAUGAACGCUGAUUCGUGUUUUCUUGACAUUUUCUAUAUCUUCCAAGUUAACAAUUUUUGUCUUGUCCUGGAUGAACUUAGGUAUGGUUUCAAAGUUCUCAACUUUUUUGAUGAUUACCUCUAAUAUGUCAUUUUAUUGUGAGUCAAUGUCUAUUUCUUGCAUUGUCUCAUUGCAUGUCACAGUCAUUGGUUCAUCAAGAUAUGUAACAAUAAUGCUCUGCAAGUAAAGUAAUGAGAGAAAAAUAAAAAGGUGUUGAUACAAUAAAAAAAUCGAAAUGCUUUGAUAUAUUCCAUAAUCAUUUUGAACAUUAAAGACCUUAUUGCAGAAAUCAAAAUGCGAAAAGAAAAAAUUAUCUAGUAAAAAUAAAAAUAGUGCAUGAUGCUUGUUUAGCCUUGUUACCCCGUGGCUCGUCGGGCUCUGGUGGUCCUGAUGGUCCAAUUGUUGAGGUAUGCUCCUCUACUCACAGCUUGUAUGGAAGAACCUUCCUCCCCAUCCUCCUCGAAAACAACACAACAGUCAUUGUCAUUGUGUUCUAAAAAUAAGUUCUUCACCACAACAAGCGCUUCCUAUUCGUCUGUCCUAUAAGCAAUGUCGACCUGUUGGAAAGUCUGCUCCAAAGGUGGUAUUGGCAGUUCUAGCGGAUAGAAAGGACCGCGCCAUGGUGGCAACUAGUUGUUAAAUUUUUCCCAAGUGUACUCGUAUCCCAGAUCGAAAGUAAUGCCGCGCUUCUCGAGCUUUAUAGGUUUAACAAUCCCCUAUAGGUUCUGACCUUUGCCUGGUUUGUACCCACUCCAGUUCAAGAUACUCUCGAUAUUGUUGUCCUACCAUUUAUCCUUGCCAACAAUAUUUACUCGCUCGAUGUAGUGGUAGGUCUCUCCAUCUAACUUUCUUCUUCCCCUUAUUGUCGUCACCGUAAAUGAUCACUUUCUGGUGAUUUCAUUCAAAUUUUAUGGCUUGAUGCAGUGUUGAAGCCACAGCCCCCGCAGAACGAAUUUAAGGGCGCCCUAAUAGCAGGUUGCAGGAUGCUGGCACAUCUAUCACGGUAAGUUGACCUCGAACGAAGUUGGUCCCAUCUGCAGACACAGGCUAAUCUCACCGAUGGUGGACCUUUGGGACCCGUCAAAAGCUUUCACAUUGAUUGCUCCUUAUUUUAUCUGGUGUAGUCUUUGCCUAGCUUUUUGAGCGUUAUCAAUAGGCAUAUAUUAAAGCUGGAACCCCUAUCAAUCAGGAUCCUAGUGAUGAAGUAGUCUUCAUAUUGCACGGUAAUGUGCAAUGCUUUGUUGUGGCCCAACCCUUUAGCUGGAACCUCCUGCUAAUAGAAAGUGAUUUUAUGAAUUUCUAACACUUGUCCCACCAUAUUAGCCAUUUCUCUGUCAGUGAUAUUGCUUGGCACGUAUGCCUCACUCAACACCUUCAACAGAGCAGUUUUGUGUAUCUUGGAGUUUUGCAACAAGGAGAGGAUAAAUAUCUGCGCUAGUGUUUUGUUUAGCUGGUCAAUGACCGAAUACUCUUUGUUCUAUCUUCCUCCAAUGGUCAUCUGGACCUACUUCAGUGAUGAGUGGUCGAUUGGAAGCUCGCUUACUUGACUCAGCUAAGUGCUGUAGGGUAUAGAAUCUUCCAGUCCUUGUCAUAUCCUGUGCUGCAAUAGUCUCUUUAAACUUGACUUUGCCUUCCUCCUAUCCUCGACCAUGUAUUCCUAAGGAAUAGUUUUUGUAUGGAAUGACGACACAGUGGUGAUCGCCACUGGCAUUGAUGUGACUACCUUUACUUCAAAUGGGACAUUUUCCUUGGGUGGUAAAAUUGUAACCUCGAACGGCGCCGAUGUUUUGGCUGAUGGUGUUGACUCAAACUCAAGAGGGAUUGACACAUCUACCUCCAUGACCUUAGACAGUUGAAUCUGAACUAUAACAGGGUUGAGAGUAACUGUUGGUUUCUUUGGAUCAUCGCCUUCUGCGAUCAACACGAUGGAUCAUUCGGGAUCCUAAUCAUCUUCUAUCUCAAUCACGUGAACACCCCCGCCCUUGUGAUCUGGUAAGGGAUUGUUCCGAACAUUUGAUGUGGUUCCUUUUCUAUAACAACAUUGUUAUCAAUUAAGGACCAUAUUUUGUACUUUAUAGAGCGACAUUCGUCAAUGAUGUGUCCCUUCAUGCCAGAAUGGUAUGCACAAGAUUUGUUUGAGUUAACGUGCUGAGUAAGGUUCUUAAGGGUUGAAGGAUGGAUGAGGGUGAUAUAACUGGCAGUUUUUGAGUCUCUCAUAUAGCUGAUCAAUUGGUUCGGUAAUGGAUGUAUAUUGUUUUGGGGGCCUCCGAUCAAAAUUAAGUCAGGGCUUUGGAAAGUUUUGGCGUACGAGUGGUGAGUGGUAAUGAGAUGGUUAGGCAUUAUAGGCUUGGUAGACAUGUGCGGGUUGGGAAUAUCGAGGCGAGGUGUGAUGCUAUAUGGGAGGUGGAGGUGACUGAUAAGUUGGUUGUUGGGGCUUGGUAGGAAGAUUCUUAGUAGUUUGGAGCUGACUGCUAUGUGAGUGGAGGUAUAAGAUAGGUGUGGUUUUUGAGGGUAGACUUGGUCCUUUGUGUAACCAUUACAACCCCCACGUCUCUCUUCUUAGACACACCACCAGACUGUAAGACCUUGUUUAUGAUUUGCAACGCCUUUUGUUUGUAACCAUUCCGCUUUUGAUACCUUCUUCAAUUCACUACCUCAGCCUGAUGAUGUUGGAAAACUUAUGAUUUUCAAUCAACAUUAGCCAUUCAUAAUACAAACGAGUCCUAGGCCCGGACAAAGAAUUUGUUCAUCUGUUCCUCUUCUAAGGCAGGUCUGACCUUAGCAGAUUUUGACCUCCAGCGAGUAGCACACUCGUGAAAUGUUUCUGUAGGCUUCUUCAGAUUCUGAAUAUAGAGUACAUCCGACACAUUUUCUAUGUUAAAUCCGAACCUGUCCAUGAAAUCAGAGGCCAGAACUACACAAUUUGACCAUUUCUUAAGAUCCUGGAUGAUGUACUAGGAUAGUGCAUCUCCCUUCAGACUCCUCAUGAAUAGUUUCACGUGGAUCCUUUCGUCCUUUCCUACCCCGACCAGCUUACCGCAUUAUGCUCUAAGAUGGACCCUCAGAUCACCUGUACCAUCAAUCAUCUUGAACUUGGGAUGUUUCUACACCUCUGGCAGUUCAAUAUCUGGUUGUAUGCAGAGAUCUUCAUAGUUCAACCCUUCAAUACCGUCACUUCCUUUGACACCUUGGAUUCGACUAGUUAGUUUCUUAAGCUCUUCAGCCAAGUUUCUGAUGAGUAAAUCCUUUUCCUCGGUCUGAGGGGUGCAAGAUAUACGUUGGGUGGAGAGUGUCACGAUCUCCAUGUAAAUGGGAUUGUUGUGGUGGCUGGGUGUAUGGGUGUGGAAGUGGUCAUUUACGGAGUUUUGUGGUUUGGUGAUGAGUAACAGAUUGUUAUUUGGAGUGUGGCAAGUGUUGCAUUGGUUCUUUGUUGGGAUAGUGCGCUGAUUUGGUUGCUUUUGUGGAGGUGUGGUAUUUUAGCCAUUGGGGAAGAUGGUGUCUGGGGUGCUGAGGGAGAAGGAUAGGUUGGCCAGGUUCCGAACCUGAUGAAGCUCCUUGAAACAUCAACAAUUUCUUCUUGAGUUGUGACACAUUUUCAUUGGGAACCUGAAUACUAUGGCCAUCAAUGGCCUCUGUUAUUGUGAUUUCCUUUCUAACGUUCAAAUUUUCUAUUUUGCCCUUGUUCUUGUUCUUAACAGGACUUAGAUGAGGAGUGGGUGGAGGGCCCUUAGAUCUUGUGGAAUAGGAUGAUGUUGCAAGAGUGAACGAACUAGCAUUUGGGGAGGGGAAUAACAAAACAAAAUGAAACGAAAAGGUAACCAAAUUAGUUGGGAUUGUCACACCUCAUUUUCACUAUAUCCCAUGAAGGGCGUAGAAAUAGAGUUUUUCCAAUUAAAGGACAAUCGAAAUGAGAUUUAUUUAAUAAAAGAUUUUAGAGUCGCCACUUAGGAUAAGUUAUGGUGUCCCAAGUCACCGAUUUAAAAUCCUGAAUCGAGGAAGGUUUGACUCUGUAAUACACUCUGUGAGCCAUAAAUCCGAGUAAAGAAUUCUGUUAACCCAGAAGAAGGUGUUAGGCAUUACCGAGUUCCGUGGUUAUAGCACGGUAGAUCAACUGUUAUAUUCGGUUCGAUAAUAUUAUUUUAAUCUUUUGUACCUAUAUGCAAAGUCUGACUUUGAACUACUUUUAUUUAAUUUUUCAGAAUAUUGCAACAUCGUUAAAACACGUCUCAAACAAUGUCACAUAAAUGCACCCGUAGUUUUUGACAUAUUUCAACAUCGUUGGGUUUUGGAUUUGGGUCACAUAAAUGCGCACUCGUAUUUAGGAAAGUAAAUUAUUGAACUAAUGCGCUUAAAAUGAAUAUGAAUUUGCAAGUUUGCAAGCGCCAUGGAAUUUAAACUAAACGGCACACCUCGAAUUAUAUGAACUAAAUUAAAUUAGCUAAGAUACCCUUAUUUCAUGAAUUUGCUAGACGGGAACAAUAUGCAAAUGAUGAGCCUGACAUCAGAAGGAAUUGUCCUGGUGGUGCAGUAGGAAGGAAAGAUUGCUCAUCUAAAAUAGACUCCCGCAACUGCCGAGUGAGGGAUUGGUCUGUUGAUAAUCGCUCGCUGCGUAGCCUCUCAAAGGACAAUGCAUGUCAGCUUAAUUUUAUGGCGCACUCAGGAGAAAGUGCACUUGUAUGUAGUAGUAUAUUCCUAAAGCUUAGGUUAAUAGCUCAAGUAGUAUAGGGAUAAAAGAUUACAAUACCAUUGAAAUGUGGUCAACCUGCUGCGGCUAAUUCUGAUUUCUAUGAUCCAGUGAUGCGUCUCACUAAUGAAAAGGAUUAUUGAUGCAUGUCUCUGAUCCAUGAUGCAAUCAAGAACCUUAGGAUCAAUUACGAAAGACUAUUUAGCACAUGUACUAAUUUAACUAAUGAAUCCUAGCAAACAAAAUAGCUACGGAGAUUAACUGAAAUAUGUUUUGGGAUGUAAUCAAAACUUGAAAUAUUCAGGCUAAGACAUCAAGGUAAGGGUGAAGAAAAUUUCAGGAAGCUCAGUCAAUGCAACAUAACAUGGUUCGAAAGUUGAACAUAAUCCUAAAACUACUACUGAUUUUAGCUCAUCUUACUCAAAUUAGCCUCUUCUUGUUUAUAAAUGAAACUAAACAUGUACAAAACUACAGUUUAUAAUCAGCACAGAGAAGAUUUCCAGCAAAACAGAUUACUGUUAAGAGGUUUGGGAAGAUCAAUUUGAAGUCAGCACACCCAUCGACAGUUGUAUUGAAUCCUCAACAAAAUACCAUGGCUAACAAUGAAAGCCAUUCUAGGUCGACUAUACAUUUCCAGUACGAUAGUCUACUGAACUAUUAACUAACCUCCUGAACUUUAUGGCUCAAGAAGGGUGCAGUAAAAGGAGCAUAUAAGAACUAGAUGAAUCAUUAACUCAACAGCUCCAUCACAGUUCGUACACAACAAACAUGGAUUAAGGUAAACAUUAGGGAAUGCCAAAGUCUGGGCUUAACGUCCUCUUAAUUUCAAAUGUCAAAUAGAAACAAGAAUCAGAAUUGCACCUUUGACAUGAGAGCAGUCCAGGAACAUACACCAACAAUUCAGAAUUGCACCACACUGUUAACAUGGGCAUAAACUAUAUUCCAUCAGUUCAAACCUUGAACUUUCAUGAAUAACCACAAGACAUUUCUUUUGUUUGCUCAGAGGAAAAAACAAUAUGAACUGGGUUUUUAAGCUGGACCUCAAGUGCAGCUAAACACACUAGCAUACCAGAGAAAAACUGACCCAGAUCCUAGACUUUCUAGUACAUGGAGUAGGAAUGAAAUUUAAGAGAAAAAAACACAUGAGUCUAGCAAUAGCACUCUCUUUGACAGCUAAAAUUUAGACCAACUACAGCUUUAAAACAAGCAUUGAAUUGCUUAUCUCCCAACAUUCAUAGUAGAUCUUGAUAAACACCUCUCACUAAAUGACAUAACAAAAUAAACAAUCGUUUACUGAUUUCACAAGCUUAUAUUGAAGCUAAACAUGAACAACAAAUCCUACAUUAAUCUAGGCACAACAAAUUACAACUCAAAUUUGCAGGGAAAGAGCUGACUGUGUUCAACAAUGUAGCAACUCAAGCAGACAUCCUACCUCAAACAGGCUGUCACAUUUCCAUAAAAGAACCAUUCAAAUAGACAAUUAAACUCAGAAAAUUAAGUCGAGAUCUUGACAUAAAUGAAAACUCGACAUGAUGAUAGCAAUUCAAGCAUAAGCAUAGAGGACGACCCUUUAAACUCAGCUUUUACUGACUGAACAUACUCAACUACAUCAUACCACUGCGAAGAGGUUCACCAGCAAGAAAUUCGAUCAUAACACAAAAUAGACCACUAUAAACUAAAUCUCAUAGCUCAAAAGCACCAGAACAAAACAGAGUCACAUAGAAUAAAAGAGAGGAAAAUUGAACCUUAAUUUGCAAAUCUCUUCUUUAACAAUUAUAAACUCGACAAGAUAACAGUAGAAAACCAAGCUCGAACUUCAAUUUGUGUCUCCUUGGCACUCACAUCCGGAUUCAAAAAUAAAAAUUAUAUAUAUGUUUCUCUUAAGCUUUGAAAGAACUCUUCAAGAAAAGAAAUGGAAUCAGAAAACUAGAAAAAAUCGAAGCCUUUCAACUUUUCUCUAAAUUUUUGUUCUUCCUUCUCAAAAUCGAAAUUGGCCCUAUUUGAAAAUGAAUCCCUUGAAGAACGUAGGGCCCAUAUUGAAUGAACUCAAUCCAACGCCUCACACUCAUCCAGCGAUUCUGCUCCAGAACCUUCUAAUUUGUGGGAUAUAUCCAAUUCGCGCGGUGAGAGAGGAGAGGAAUCUCGCGUCAGAAACCGUUAGAACUGUGAACUUGGACUAGGUUGGGUCUUGGUUCGAAUGGUGUUUGGAGAAGAGCAGUAGGGCUGCGUCGUUUGAGCUCGGGAGAUUAGGGUUCUUGGGCAUUUUGUGUUGUAAUUUGGGGAGGGUCGGUUAGCGAGCAGGUCGGGGC
rnacentral:lncRNA from 1 species